rnacentral:lncRNA from 1 species
ACCUCAUUUCAUUCAAGCUUACUGCAGCAUCACGGCGACAAGAUCAUUUCUUAAAGCGAAAUCAUAUCCCCAGAAUCUUCUGUCAGACCAAAACUUCAACAUGGACCGAAAUGAUUGCUAAGUCCUGCUUUUACUCAUUGACCAAGAUCACAACAGGGGAACAGCUGCAGCUCCAGCUGAGGCAGACAAAGUUCUUGACUGCAAAAGAAAAUCAGUUUUGGAUGAAAUGAAAGAGACGUUGCCUGAUGGAAAAAAGGUGGAGGCAGAUAAAGGGUAUGUUUUUGCAAAGAGCCGGAGGGUCGAGGCUGGCAGAGAAUGGGGACAGAGCAGAGAGAUUAGAAAAACCCACCAUAAAUGUGGGUCUUUCAUUAUGAGUAAUCAGACUUUAUGAAUCGUCCCCUUGACAGACUUCUGGUCCCCUGUUCAGUCUCACACUCGGUGGGUCCCGGGAAACAGCUUCUUCUGCCUCCUCGUCCAUGAUGCAGCAGCUCUGCUACCUUGCAAUCACUUUCUCGUGCACCCUGUGUUUCGCACCUUUGCUGCGUUCCUUAGGGUGCAAUGAAACACAAUAUCGCAGCAGUCAUGGUGAACAAAGCUGCUGUAACAAGUGUCGGCCAGGUCACUAUGUGGUUCAGCACUGUACUGCCUCCUCUCCGACUAAGUGCAAGCCGUGCGAGGAUCAGCGCUACAUUCAGACGUACAACAUGGAGUGGAGCUGCGACUUUUGUGGAAGCUGCAGUGCAUCAAACAUGGAGUACAAGUCACACUGCAACGCCACCCAUGACUCUGUGUGCAAAUGUAAACCGGGCUAUGAAUGCACAGACCGGCCCUGCACGCAGUGUCGGCCGGUGUCGCCGACCACCAGACCCCCACCCCCUGUAACACCUGUCACUGUCAUCACCGUGGAAACAAGCAAAGAUACGCUGUGGCUAAUGCAAAUGGCUGCUUUUCUGUUGAUAACAGUUGCAGUGUGUGUUGUCUUGAAAAAAAAAGCAGGUCAGCAGUGGAUCACAUCCAAAUGUGGUUACCUGUUGGCUAAAACACAUGAGCCGGUGUCACCGUGCUCCGAUGAUGAGGAAGUAACAAAGCCUGUGCAGGAAGCUGGGAAUUUUGCUAAAAUCGAAAUAGAUCCUUGA